AAAGAAAGAAAGUCCAGCGGCUCCUAAUCCCUCCCUUCAAGGCUGCACCUCAAAUCCGCCCGGGCGCCUCUCUCCUCGAAUUAUUCAAACCUCGAUUUGCUCACUGGCCCCUGGACUCAGCCCUCGCACACCCCCUGCGCGAGGCAGCUCCUCAAUGGAUACAAACAGCGAGCGUCUCAAUGGAUACAUUCUCCCGGCCAGCCAAUGAGCGCGCUGCGGAAGGGGCUGUUGCCGUGGGGACGGGCCGGCUGGAACAGGUUGUGUUGAUGAAUUGUUAAUGAGUUUGUCAUUCACAAAAACGGAAAGGAAUUUCCGCUCCGGAUAAGCCCCAGUGCAAACAAGCUGCAACAGCGGGCUCGGCGGGAGGAAGGAGAGAGAGGAGGAGGCGGCGGCGGAGGAGGAGCAGGGCACAUAAACCGGGGCACUCCGGUUGUCUCAUGUUUCCUUCUGUUGAGAGUUCACACUUCGCGUCGGAACUUUUGCGCACAAACGGUGCAAUUAGCAGGCACAAAAGCCCUUGUUCGUGACGCCUGGGCUUGCAAGGCUAGCUUUAAGAAAACUUGUGCUUCCCCCCCCGCUCCUUUUUUUUUUUUUUUUUUAAUUCCCUUUAAACUCAUUUGGACCGGAGUUCGCCUGGACCCCCCUCCUCCCCCCUCUCGGCGGUGUGUGGCAUUUGUUUGCCCGUUUAAAAAGCCCAGCUCUGUUUGCUCUGAUGUUCUUUUAGCCGAGGCUGUGUUGGGGCUGGUGAACUGCCUGGGCUUUAGUGACCGAUGAGGUGUUAAAUGCUAAUCCAACAUCUUUUCGAAACAGACUAGGAUUUUUGUCGACGCUUUUUAAGGCAAGCAAACAAACAAAUGCCUGGCUGUCCAGAUGAUAGGGAGAAAGGGUUUUGUCUUAAAUUGCAUUUAAAUUAACUUUAUUUUGCUUUUAAACAGUGGAGCCUGCAGAAACAAACUGGUUGGCCAGUCCGAUGUUUUUAUUCCUCUCCAGUGGCCUGGGGCGCUAUGAGCCAUCAUUGUUCCGGGGAUCCAAGCCCCCCCCCCGCGCCCCGCCCGCCCCCGCCGCCUUCCCGCGGUCACCCACCGCGCGCCGGGGAGCUGCGCUCGUUAAUCAUUUCUGGGCAGCAAGCUCGGCUUCCGACAGAGGAGCCGGGCUGGCGGGGCUGCCUGGGCUCGGUGCAUGUAGGGCGCGCGGGCCCCCCGCAAGGCCGGGGGGGCCCGUCGGAGGGGAGCCUUCCGUCCCACCCAGGCGCCCCCCCCACCCCCGCCCCCCGCCCCGGGGCGCCGGGCACUUUGCGCAGCACCGGGCGCGCCUGCGCGUUGCGCUCCCGCCCAGCACCCCGCCCCCCACCCCCACCCCGGGGUGCGCGGCGCUGGGCGGCCCCGCGGAGGGGUCCGGGGUCCGGGGUCCGGUCACGGCCUGGGGUGGGCGAGGGGCGAGGCGGGGCGCCUGCCGAGACCUCCCCCGGCCCCCCGGGCUCGCCAGGAGGGCUGGGCGCCGCGGGGAGCAGCAGGGGAGCAGCAGUUCCAACUGGAGGAGGCCUGCGCCGGAGUUGACGCCUCCGAUCCGCCCCCACCUGUUACAGGCCUUCGCGCCCCGGGACGUCUGGGGCGCUGGGACCUGGGGGCGCGGCAGGGCGCCCAGCUGCGGACCCGCGAACCACACAGGCCUCGGCCCCGGGGCCUCCAGCAGAAGAGACUGGGGAAUCCGCGGUUACUUCGCUGCUUAAAAAGCGGCCUUACCCGGGUGGCUCAGCGGUUGAGCGCCUGCCUUGGGCCCAGGGCGUGAUCCCGGGGUGCUGGGAUCCAGCCCCACAUGGCGCUCCCCGCAGGGAGCCUGCUUCUCCCUCUGCCUCUGUCUCAUGAAUGAAUAAAUAAAACCUUUUUUUUUUUUCAAGUUCCCUCACCUGAACCUGGCGGUAGAUUUGGGAGGAUAAUGGCAACGCUCCUCAAACCUGAGGGUGGAUCUGAACCCUACGGCAACGGAAUGUCGGUGCUUCUCAGCACAUUUUAUAAAAUUGCAUUCUGACCACCGGGUUCUAAGAAGGGCAGCAUAAGGGGCCGCUGGAGUGGGGCGGCCAGGGUUGAAAUUGGGCCCCUGUCACUUCCUAGAAUGUGGAUGGACCCUUGGUUAAAUCUGUUGUGAACUGCGUCUUCCACGUGGCCUAAUGAAGAUAAUAAAAAUAUUUGCUUUAUAGGAUCUCUGUGGUGGUUGAAUGGAUGAAAUGCCCUAGCAUGAUGUUGAUGUGCUUUCAGCUAUUGAUGUUUUUAUCGUUCUGGAUUCCCAACCUGCAGUGUUCUGAGUCCAUAUCUAGAUGCCCUUGGAGGGCCUGCCUAACAGCCCUCCCAGAACUCCCUAGUCUACAGAGAAGCCCUCUGAGGGACUGCCCUAGGUCGUUUAAUCCGUCCCAAUUCAGCUGUGGAGCAAAGUAGGUGCUGUUACAGACCGGGGUCCAAAUCCUUUAACAUGGUUAACACAAUGUACCCAGCUCCCUAACUUCUCCCUAACUGAUCCGCUUUUAAAACACCCUGUUUCCCCACCACACCAAAUUGAUAGAGUAGAAAUGAUAUGUAAAUUGGGCAUUUACUGCUUGAAAGGCUGGGUCUUGAUUUCAGUCUUUACUUGCAUAAUUUUGGUCAGUCUUCAGAAAACCCAUGUAAAUCAUCCCCAUUCACAAAGAUUAAGGAAUUUGUAUGAAGUCAUACAGUAACAAACAAUGGGGUCAGGAUUUGAGGCCAGACCCUGUACAGACCAGUAAGGUUGACCACAUACACAUCUCACAGCUUACCCUGGAGGCUGCGCACUGAACAGUGCCGUGCCAAAAUUUGAAGGAUUCAGUU
rnacentral:lncRNA from 1 species